UACGUAGGCGGAUUAGUAAGUUAGGGGUGAAAUCCCAGGGCUCAACCCUGGAACUGCCUCUAAAACUGCUAGUCUUGAGAUCGAGAGAGGUGAGUGGAAUUCCAAGUGUAGAGGUGAAAUUUGUAGAUAUUUGGAGGAACACCAGUGGCGAAGGCGGCUCACUGGCUCGAUACUGACGCUGAGGUACGAAAGUGUGGGGAGCAAACAGGAUUAGAUACCCUGGUAGUCC
rnacentral:rRNA from 1 species